GACGAACGCUGGCGGCGUGCUUAACACAUGCAAGUCGAACGGAAAGGCCCUGCUUUUGUGGGGUGCUCGAGUGGCGAACGGGUGAGUAACACGUGAGUAACCUGCCCUUGACUUUGGGAUAACUUCAGGAAACUGGGGCUAAUACCGGAUAGGAGCUCCUGCUGCAUGGUGGGGGUUGGAAAGUUUCGGCGGUUGGGGAUGGACUCGCGGCUUAUCAGCUUGUUGGUGGGGUAGUGGCUUACCAAGGCUUUGACGGGUAGCCGGCCUGAGAGGGUGACCGGCCACAUUGGGACUGAGAUACGGCCCAGAAGCCAACGGGAGGCAGUAGUGGGGAAGAUUGCACAAUGGGGGGAAGGCUGAGGCAGCAACGCCGCGUGCGGGAUGACGGCCUUCGGGUUGUAAACCGAUUUGGCCUGUGACGAAGCGUGAGUGACGGUAAUGGGUAAAGAAGCACCGGCUAACUACGUG
rnacentral:rRNA from 1 species